AAAAGACUUAGUCCUAACCUUACCGUUGGUUAUCACCAGACCUAUACAUGCAAGUAUCCGCGCCCCAGUGUAAAUGCCCUUGUCCUCUUAAUAAGACAAAAGGAGCAGGCAUCAGGCACGCUCUUGCAGCCUAAAACGCCUUGCUCAGCCACACCCCCACGGGUCCUCAGCAGUAACUAACAUUAAGCAAUAAGUGAAAACUUGACUUAAUCAUGGUGUCCCCAGGGUUGGUAAAUCUUGUGCCAGCCACCGCGGUUAUACAAGAAACCCAAAUCAACUGUUACACGGCGUAAAGAGUGGCAUUAAUAUUAUCUAUCAACUAGGGUCAAAUCACGACUGAGCUGUCAUAAGCUAAAGACGUACCAAAGCUCAAUAUCAACAUAACCCUAGCACCCAAGACCUACCAAACCCACGAAAGCCAGGGGACAAACUGGGAUUAGAUACCCCACUAUGCCUGGCCCUAAAUCUUGAUGCUUCCCCCACUAAAACAUCCGCCUGGGAACUACGAGCACAAACGCUUAAAACCCUAAGGACUUGGCGGUGUCCCAAACCCCCCUAGAGGAGCCUGUUCUGUAAUCGAUAACCCACGCUACACCCAACCUCUCCUUGCCCAAGCAGCCUAUAUACCGCCGUCGUCAGCCCACCUUCCAUGAGAGCCCAAUAGUGAGCAUAACAAUCUUAUCCAUUAAUAAGACAGGUCAAGGUAUAGCCUAUGGAGAGGAAGAAAUGGGCUACAUUUUCUACUCUAGAACAUAACCACGAAAGGAGAUCUGAAAUGAUCUCCGGAAGGAGGAUUUAGCAGUAAAACACGACAAUCAAGCCUGUUUUAAGCUGGCUCUGGGAUACGUACAUACCGCCCGUCACCCUCCUCACAAGCUACAACCUGCCAUAACCUAAUAUAUUAACCUGCUGAAGAUGAGGUAAGUCGUAACAAGGUAAGUGUACCGGAAGGUGCACUUAGCAUAUC
rnacentral:ncRNA from 1 species